UACGUAGGGUGCGAGCGUUAAUCGGAAUUACUGGGCGUAAAGCGUGCGCAGGCGGUGAUGUAAGACCGAUGUGAAAGCCCCGGGCUUAACCUGGGAAUGGCAUUUGGGACUGCAAGGCUUGAGUGCGGCAGAGGAGACUGGAAUUCCUGGUGUAGCAGUGAAAUGCGUAGAUAUCAGGAGGAAUACCGAUGGCGAAGGCAGGUCUCUGGGCUGACACUGACGCUCAUGCACGAAAGCGUGGGGAGCGAA
rnacentral:rRNA from 1 species